GUCGGCGUAGCUCAGUGGUAGAGCGAGGGACUCAUAAACCCUAGGUCGGAGGUUCGAUCCCUCCCGCCGACA
rnacentral:tRNA from 1 species